rnacentral:tRNA from 3 species
CAAAAUGUAGCUUAAACAAAGCACUCGGCCUACACCCGAAAGAUUUCACUAAAUGGACAUUUUGA